rnacentral:rRNA from 1 species
GUUCGGAUUGUAGUCUGCAACCCGACUACAUGAAGCUGGAAUCGCUAGUAAUCGCGGAUCAGAAUGCCGCGGUGAAUACGUUCCCGGGUCUUGUACACACCGCCCGUCACACCAUGGGAGUCGGAAAUGCCCGAAGUCAGUGACCCAACCGUAAGGAGGGAGCUGCCGAAGGUGGAGCCGGUAACUGGGGUGAAGUCGUAACAAGGUACC